UACGGGGGGAGCAAGCGUUGUUCGGAUUUACUGGGCGUAAAGGGCGUGUAGGCGGCCACUGCAAGUCGGUUGUGAAAUCUCCGGGCUUAACUCGGAAAGGUCAAUCGAUACUGCAGGGCUAGAGUGCAGAAGGGGCAACUGGAAUUCUCGGUGUAACGGUGAAAUGCGUAGAUAUCGAGAGGAACACCUGCGGCGAAGGCGGGUUGCUGGGCUGACACUGACGCUGAAAUGCGAAAGCUAGGGGAGCGAACGGG
rnacentral:rRNA from 1 species